rnacentral:rRNA from 1 species
UACGUAGGGUGCGAGCGUAAUCGGAAUACUGGGCGUAAAGCGUGCGCAGGCGGUGAUGUAAGACAGGUGUGAAAUCCCCGGGCUUAACCUGGGAACUGCAUUUGUGACUGCAUCGCUGGAGUGCGGCAGAGGGGGAUGGAAUUCCGCGUGUAGCAGUGAAAUGCGUAGAUAUCAGGAGGAACACCUGUGGUGUAGACAGCUUGCUGGACCAUCACUGACGCUGAGGCACGAAAGCGUGGGUAGCAAACAGG